CGUCAGGACGAACGCUGGCGGCGUGCUUAACACAUGCAAGUCGAACGAUGAAGCCCUUCGGGGUGGAUUAGUGGCGAACGGGUGAGUAACACGUGGGCAAUCUGCCCUUCACUCUGGGACAAGCCCUGGAAACGGGGUCUAAUACCGGAUAUGACACACGACCGCAUGGUCUGUGUGUGGAAAGCUCCGGCGGUGAAGGAUGAGCCCGCGGCCUAUCAGCUUGUUGGUGGGGUGAUGGCCUACCAAGGCGACGACGGGUAGCCGGCCUGAGAGGGCGACCGGCCACACUGGGACUGAGACACGGCCCAGACUCCUACGGGAGGCAGCAGUGGGGAAUAUUGCACAAUGGGCGAAAGCCUGAUGCAGCGACGCCGCGUGAGGGAUGACGGCCUUCGGGUUGUAAACCUCUUUCAGCAGGGAAGAAGCGAGAGUGACGGUACCUGCAGAAGAAGCGCCGGCUAACUACGUGCCAGCAGCCGCGGUAAUACGUAGGGCGCAAGCGUUGUCCGGAAUUAUUGGGCGUAAAGAGCUCGUAGGCGGCUUGUCACGUCGGAUGUGAAAGCCCGGGGCUUAACCCCGGGUCUGCAUUCGAUACGGGCAGGCUAGAGUUCGGUAGGGGAGAUCGGAAUUCCUGGUGUAGCGGUGAAAUGCGCAGAUAUCAGGAGGAACACCGGUGGCGAAGGCGGAUCUCUGGGCCGAUACUGACGCUGAGGAGCGAAAGCGUGGGGAGCGAACAGGAUUAGAUACCCUGGUAGUCCACGCCGUAAACGUUGGGAACUAGGUGUGGGCGACAUUCCACGUCGUCCGUGCCGCAGCUAACGCAUAAGUCCCCGCCUGG
rnacentral:rRNA from 1 species